GACGAACGCUGGCGGCGUGCUUAACACAUGCAGGUCGAACGGAAAGGCCCUGCUUUUGUGGGGUGCUCGAGUGGCGAACGGGUGAGUAACACGUGAGUAACCUGCCCUUGACUUUGGGAUAACUUCAGGAAACUGGGGCUAAUACCGGAUAGGAGCUCCUGCUGCAUGGUGGGGGUUGGAAAGUUUCGGCGGUUGGGGAUGGACUCGCGGCUUAUCAGCUUGUUGGUGGGGUAGUGGCUUACCAAGGCUUUGACGGGUAGCCGGCCUGAGAGGGUGACCGGCCACAUUGGGACUGAGAUACGGCCCAGACUCCUACGGGAGGCAGCAGUGGGGAAUAUUGCACAAUGGGCGGAAGCCUGAUGCAGCAACGCUGCGUGCGGGAUGACGGCCUUCGGGUUGUAAACCGCUUUCGCCUGUGACGAAGCGUGAGUGACGGUAAUGGGUAAAGAAGCACCGGCUAACUACGUG
rnacentral:rRNA from 1 species